ACAAUAAAGUAAAAAUUUAGAAGCAAUUAAUAAAAUUUAAAUGAGUAUGUAUAAUUUUUCAUUGUGUUAAUUCACUUGAAGAAACUUAGGUAUACAGUCCUUUACAGAUUAAAACAUUUGUUGUUGUAAGUGAUGUAAAACAGUGAUGUUUUACCUACUAGCCUAACCUAACUUUUUUGCUUACUUGUAUAGACAUCACAAACUAGCAACAAAUAAGCAUAACGAUGUAAUCAUGCUUAUUGCUAAUUCAAUUUUUUUCUAUUAAAUUUUUUUAUUAAUUUUGUUAAUUUAUUUUUUAUUAUUUUUUCCAUUAUUUUCUAUUAUUUUUUAUUAUUUUAUUAUUUUUUUCUUUUUUAUUAUUUUUUGUUAACUUAAUUUUUAUUUAAUUUGUCGAUACAAUUGUUAUAUGGCGAUAUUCCGAUUAGACCUGAUAUAUUGGUUUUUUAUUUUGAAGUGUUUCUGUCUAUGUCACCACGUAGGAGUACACAGUACAGUAAAAAAACACAGUUAUGAUGUGUUUUUUAUAAUUAUUGUCUAGUAUUUUUUUAUAUUUAUAUUUUAUAACCAGUAUUUAUGAACAAUCCGACAGAUCUUAUUGAACUCAUGUCGUUUUCUUUCUAUCGGUCCAUUUUAGAGCCUUUAAAUUAGUACAGAUAUUUAUCUUGAAGUAAGGAAGAUAUAAACUUGUUCAAUAAUUGAAACAUAUCUUUCGUCAGGUUAGUCUAGAACUGACGUUUUGAAAUGUUAGUUAUGUUUGUACACGUAUACGUCACUCUAAUCAGUUCCAAACAUUUGUAUUUAACUACAAAGGUCAAAUUUUAGUGACUUCAGAAUGGCGUUGGUUGUUAACAACCCGUCCAAAUAUAAUCACCGUGCGGCCAUGCAAAUUUCAACCCUCUGUGGGCAAGGUCAUUAACAUGUUUUUUUCAACCUUGAAAGACCCUUGCUCAUGGAGUUUUCGGAAACUAGACUGCAUAUUAACGAAAACCUUUAUAGGGAAACUUUAAACAAGGUUUAUCAAGCAAUAUGACCAAAACUUAGAAGUGAAAAAUUACUAUUUUCAUGUAUUUUAUUUUUCCAUGAGUAAAAAUAAAAACCGUAGUCGUGCAACUUGGUUCAUAGGUCCAUCUUGAUAUAAGGAAAGACUCUUUUUUGUGGGUAAUUCAUUUGUUAUUUUUCUCGUAGCCUUAUCGUUUUCCAUUUUCUUGAAGGAAAAGACCAAGAUGCGUAAAGCUUGGUACAUGAGUUUCUGUUGAUUCUACAUUCAAGAAUUUUGUUGAGUGCAAUAUUCCGUUAUAUCGGUUUGUUGAUUUAUCAUUUUAUAUUAUAUAGACUGCUACGCCAUAUGUAUGUGAAAAAAAAUAUUAAUUGGAUCACAUCCUUUUGUAAAAUCUGAAAAGUUCAAGUGCUUUGUCAACAAUAUAUCUACAUAAGAUAUUAAUUGCUGCUACUUAUCUCUCUAGUUUGAUAACGGUAUUACUUUUAUCUUGAAUAUUUUCAUUCUAAAAACUUAGAUUUUAUUGUAAUAUUAAUACUUACGGUACUGAAAGCCCAGCAUGAUCCACAGUUUCCUUGAUCCUUGACUCCCAAGUCAGCGCUUGAUCUCCAAUCAACUUCAUCUGCAGCUUG